ACGGAAGGCAGCAGUGGGGAAUAUUGCACAAUGGGCGAAAGCCUGAUGCAGCGACGCCGCGUGAGUGAAGAAGUAUCUCGGUAUGUAAAGCUCUAUCAGCAGGGAAGAAAAUGACGGUACCUGACUAAGAAGCCCCGGCUAACUACGUGCCAGCAGCCGCGGUAAUACGUAGGGGGCAAGCGUUAUCCGGAUUUACUGGGUGUAAAGGGAGCGUAGACGGUUUGGCAAGUCUGAAGUGAAAUGCGGGGGCUCAACUCCUGAACUGCUUUGGAAACUGUCGAACUAGAGUGCAGGAGAGGUAAGUGGAAUUCCUAGUGUAGCGGUGAAAUGCGUAGAUAUUAGGAGGAACACCAGUGGCGAAGGCGGCUUACUGGAAUGUAACUGACGUUGAGGCUCGAAAGCGUGGGGAGCAAACAGGAUUAGAUACCCUGGUA
rnacentral:rRNA from 2 species